UGGGGAAUCUUGGACAAUGGGCGCAAGCCUGAUGCAGCAACGCCGCGUGCGGGAAGAAGGCCCUAGGGUUGUAAACCGCUUUCAGCAGGGAAGAAACUGACGGUACCUGCAGAAGAAGGUGCGGCCAACUACGUGCCAGCAGCCGCGGUGACACGUAGGCACCAAGCGUUGUCCGGAUUUAUUGGGCGUAAAGAGCUCGUAGGCGGUUCAGUAAGUCGGGUGUGAAAACUCUGGGCUCAACCCAGAGACGCCACCCGAUACUGCUGUGACUCGAGUACGGUAGGGGAGCGGGGAAUUCCUGGUGUAGCGGUGAAAGUGCGCAGAUAUCAGGAGGAACACCAGUGGCGAAGGCGCCGCUCUGGGCCGUAACUGACGCUGAGGAGCGAAAGCGUGGGUAGCAAACAGGAUUAGAUACCCUGGUAGUCCACGCCGUAAAACGUUGGGCACUAGGUGUGGGUCUCAACCAACGAGAUCCGCGCCGUCGCUAAACGCAUUAAGUGCCCCGCCUGGGAGUACGGUCGC
rnacentral:rRNA from 1 species